AUGAACGCUGGCGGCGUGGAUAAGGCAUGCAAGUCAAACGAAUUCAAUAGACUUCGCAAGAAGUUUGUAGGAUUAGUGGCAGACGAGUUAGUAACACGUAGGUACCUCCUCUUAAGUCGAGAAUAACUAGUCGAAAGAUUGGCUAAUACUCGAUAGUCUCUUACGAGUAAAGUCGCAAGACGCUUAAGAAAGGGCCUGCGGGCUAUCAGCUAGUUGGUAGGGUAAUGGCCUACCAAGGCGAUGACGGCUAGGGGAGCUGAGAGGCUGACCCCCAACGAUGGAACUGAGACACGGUCCAUACACCUACGGGUGGCUGCAGUCAAGAACCUUCCACAAUGGACGAAAGUCUGAUGGAGCGACGCCGCGUGGUAGAUGAAGUCCCUCUGGGACGUAAAUACCUUUUGUCAGGGAGAAAAUUUUGAUAGUACCUGAAGAAUAAGGGGUUGCUAAACUCGU
rnacentral:rRNA from 1 species